rnacentral:rRNA from 1 species
ACGCUCGACACCUACGGGAGGCAGCAGUGGGGGAUAUUGCACAAUGGGGGAAACCCUGAUGCAGCAACGCCGCGUGAAGGAAGAAGGUCUUCGGAUUGUAAACUUCUGUCCUCAGGGAAGAUAAUGACGGUACCUGAGGAGGAAGCUCCGGCUAACUACGUGUCAGCAGCCGCGGUAAUCUGAGCGGGCUGGCAAGGC